GGUCCCAUCGUCUAGGGGUUAGGACACAGGCCUCUCACGUCUGCGACAGGGGUUCAAAUCCCCUUGGGACCG
rnacentral:tRNA from 1 species